rnacentral:rRNA from 1 species
UACGUAGGGGGCAAGCGUUAUCCGGAAUUACUGGGUGUAAAGGGUGCGUAGGUGGCGAUGUAAGUCAGAUGUGAAAACUCAGGGCUCAACCUUGAGACUGCAUCUGAAACUGUGUUGCUAGAGUGCAGGAGAGGAAAGCGGAAUUCCGAGUGUAGCGGUGAAAUGCGUAGAUAUUCGGAGGAACACCAGUAGCGAAGGCGGCUUUCUGGACUGUAACUGACACUGAGGCACGAAAGCGUGGGGAGCGAACAGG